rnacentral:rRNA from 1 species
GAUGAACGCUGGCGGCGUGCUUAACACAUGCAAGUCGAACGGGAAAUAUUUCAUUGAGACUUCGGUGGAUUUGAUUUAUUUCUAGUGGCGGCCGGGUGAGUAACGCGUGGGUAACCUGCCUUAUACAGGGGGAUAACAGUCAGAAAUGGCUGCUAAUACCGCAUAAGCGCACAGAGCUGCAUGGCUCAGUGUGAAAAACUCCGGUGGUAUAAGAUGGACCCGCGUUGGAUUAGCUAGUUGGUGGGGUAACGGCCCACCAAGGCGACGAUCCAUAGCCGGCCUGAGAGGGUGAGCGGCCACAUUGGGACUGAGACACGGCCCAGACUCCUACGGGAGGCAGCAGUGGGGAAUAUUGCACAAUGGGGGAAACCCUGAUGCAGCGACGCCGCGUGAAGGAAGAAGUAUCUCGGUAUGUAAACUUCUAGCAGCAGGGAAGAUAGUGACGGUACCUGACGAAGAAGCCCCGGCUAACUACGUG